GAUGAACGCUGGCGGCGUGCCUAAUACAUGCAAGUCGAGCGAACGGACGAGAAGCUUGCUUCUCUGAUGUUAGCGGCGGACGGGUGAGUAACACGUGGAUAACCUACCUAUAAGACUGGGAUAACUUCGGGAAACCGGAGCUAAUACCGGAUGAUAUUUUGAACCGCAUGGUUCAAAAGUGAAAGACGGUCUUGCUGUCACUUAUAGAUGGAUCCGCGCUGCAUUAGCUAGUUGGUAAGGUAACGGCUUACCAAGGCAACGAUGCAUAGCCGACCUGAGAGGGUGAUCGGCCACACUGGAACUGAGACACGGUCCAGACUCCUACGGGAGGCGGCAGUAGGGAAUCUUCCGCAAUGGGCGAAAGCCUGACGGAGCAACGCCGCGUGAGUGAUGAAGGUCCUCGGAUCGUAAAACUCUGUUAUUAGGGAAGAACAUAUGUGUAAGUAACUGUGCACAUCUUGACGGUACCUAAUCAGAAAGCCACGGCUAACUACGUG
rnacentral:rRNA from 1 species